CUGCUUGCCUUGACACGCCUCGUCUGCUAUAAAACUGCACUGCAUUAGAACACUUUUUUCACUCCGCUCGCUCCUCUCGCUCUUGCUCGGUGUUCUCACCCGGCCGUCGCCCCUCGCUCGCUCCCCAACUACUCACCCGGCCAUCGCCCUCUCGCUCGCUCACCAGUCGCUUGCUAGUCGCUCGCUCCUUUCCACACCAACAGAUUCGUUUUCCUCUUCUCUCUAGUGCCUUUCUCUCUUCUUCCAUCUCUCGUAUUCAUCGAUGGAAGGAGCUAAUCCCCUCUCUCUCUCCUGUUUUGGUUUACGCAAAAUCUAAAUUUUUAAUGGUGUUAGCGUCUUUCUCUGUGUGCAUCUAUAAUUUACAUAUAAUCAAUUGGGUCGGAUCAUAUUUUGCAGGCCACACCACGCAGUCAUGUCUGGAGGUCACGCUAGAGGUCACGCUGUAGCGAAACUUUAUUUCAACUACGAUUAUUGUGGAGUAGCCCUAUCUGAUGGGGCUUUUACAUGCGACAAAAUGGUUUCUACGGAUGAAAGAUGUCAAUGGUUAUUUUGUCAUUGUCAGUCAUGCGCACGAAUUAACGAGAAUUCCUUCAAUCAUGAUAUUUUUCGAGCACAAAAUCUCGAUUAUAUCAUUUCAACUGGUACGUUUGUUUGCACUUUUGAGGUAUGUGCCUAAGAUAUACCUAUACCACUGUAUAGUCAACAUCAGAGGACGUGCCCGUACAAAAGACUUACGUGUCCAAUAUGUAAUAAUGGAUUUGCUUUGAUAUCACUGAGGUCACAUUUUCUGAGAGAACAUCAGUUCAACCAUUACCAGCUUAAUUAUGGUUGUCUUAACACUGGUCAUAAUAUCUCUAAUGAUAGAGGAUGUGUUUUUAGCGGUAGAGAGGAAGACUUUAUAUUCUUCAUUAGAGGCGCAACCCUUUAUUUUGUAUGGCUUGGUGCAUCAGCUGCUGCUUCAUCUCAAGCGUCUGCUUUUUCAUCAGCGUCUGCAAAUAUCCAACUGAUGGUGAAUUUGGUCGCAGCUCAGACUCAGCAGGAUAGUGGGUCCUACACAGAUCCACCGCUACCGAGGUGUACUGAUGUUUUUCGUCUCUUUAGCUUCAGACAUCUCACCGCAGAAAAUAAUUUUAAGAUUUCUAUAUUGAUAGAUUAGUUGUUUAUGUGUAUGUCUUUAUUUAUCUAUCGGAUAAAUUUAAAUUGGUAGUUUGUUUAUUUGUCGGAUGAA